AAGAACUUAAAAAGUUUCCGUCAAAAGGAAAAGAACUUAAAGAGACUGGGGAUGUUGCAAGCACCAUGAAAGGAGAAGAAGAAAAAGACAACAAAGAAGUUGGAUAUGCUGCAAGCAACUUGGAAAAUGAAGAAGAAAUGGCUAAGAAGAUCAAUGCUCCUUCUGCAGAUGCAGCAAGCAUACAGGAUGAAG